rnacentral:rRNA from 1 species
AGCACUUCGGUGCGAGUACAGCGGCGGACGGGUGAGUAACGCGUAGGAAUCUACCUAGUAGUGGGGGACAACAUGUGGAAACGCAUGCUAAUACCGCAUACGCCCUAUGGGGGAAAGCAGGGGAUCUUCGGACCUUGCGCUAUUGGAUGAGCCUGCGUCAGAUUAGCUAGUUGGUGGGGUAAUGGCCUACCAAGGCAACGAUCUGUAGCUGGUCUGAGAGGAUGACCAGCCACACUGGAACUGAGACACGGUCCAGACUCCUACGGGAGGCAGCAGUGGGGAAUAUUGCACAAUGGGCGAAAGCCUGAUGCAGCCAUGCCGCGUGUGUGAAGAAGGC